GCACCCGAUACUUGUAGGAAUUGCUUGCACUGGAUUUUACGCGCAGCAGACACUUUCCCCGCCCCGCUUCUCCAAAGUGACCUCGAACGAAGUAUGUAGCGCGAUGAGCCCGCACACGUUAUUCACUGAGAUGGCAAGGCGACACGGAGGAGUGCAAGACUGAAUAAAUCGGUGGUGAAGCAGUGAAGCAACUGUUGGCUGCAUUAGAAAAUGGCGCCAAACACGAU
rnacentral:lncRNA from 1 species